rnacentral:rRNA from 1 species
GAUGAACGCUGGCGGCGUGCCUAAUACAUGCAAGUCGAGCGAACAGACGAGGAGCUUGCUCCUCUGACGUUAGCGGCGGACGGGUGAGUAACACGUGGAUAACCUACCUAUAAGACUGGGAUAACUUCGGGAAACCGGAGCUAAUACCGGAUAAUAUAUUGAACCGCAUGGUUCAAUAGUGAAAGACGGUUUUGCUGUCACUUAUAGAUGGAUCCGCGCCGCAUUAGCUAGUUGGUAAGGUAACGGCUUACCAAGGCAACGAUGCGUAGCCGACCUGAGAGGGUGAUUGGCCACACGGGAACUGAGAGACGGUCCAGACUCCUACGGGAGGCAGCAGUAGGGAAUCUUCCGCAAUGGGCGAAAGCCUGACGGAGCAACGCCGCGUGAGUGAUGAUGGUCUUCUGAUCGUAAAACUCUGUUAUUAGGGAAGAACAAAUGUGUAAGUAACUAUGCACGUCUUGACGGUACCUAAUCAGAAAGCCACGGCUAACUACGUG